rnacentral:rRNA from 1 species
AGAGUUUGAUCAUGGCUCAGAGCGAACGCUGGCGGCAGGCCUAACACAUGCAAGUCGAACGGAUCCUUCGGGAUUAGUGGCGGACGGGUGAGUAACACGUGGGAACGUGCCCUUUGGUUCGGAACAACUCAGGGAAACUUGAGCUAAUACCGGAUGUGCCCUUCGGGGGAAAGAUUUAUCGCCAUUGGAGCGGCCCGCGUCUGAUUAGCUAGUUGGUGAGGUAAAGGCUCACCAAGGCGACGAUCAGUAGCUGGUCUGAGAGGAUGAUCAGCCACAUUGGGACUGAGACACGGCCCAAACUCCUACGGGAGGCAGCAGUGGGGAAUCUUGCGCAAUGGGCGAAAGCCUGACGCAGCCAUGCCGCGUGAAUGAUGAAGGUCUUAGGAUUGUAAAAUUCUUUCACCGGGGACGAUAAUGACGGUACCCGGAGAAGAAGCCCCGGCUAACUUCGUGCCAGCAGCCGCGGUAAUACGAAGGGGGCUAGCGUUGCUCGGAAUUACUGGGCGUAAAGGGAGCGUAGGCGGACUGUUUAGUCAGAGGUGAAAGCCCAGGGCUCAACCUUGGAAUUGCCUUUGAUACUGGCAGUCUUGAGUACGGAAGAGGUAUGUGGAACUCCGAGUGUAGAGGUGAAAUUCGUAGAUAUUCGGAAGAACACCAGUGGCGAAGGCGACAUACUGGUCCGUUACUGACGCUGAGGCUCGAAAGCGUGGGGAGCAAACAGGAUUAGAUACCCUGGUAGUCCACGCCGUAAACGAUGAGUGCUAGUUGUCGGCAUGCAUGCAUGUCGGUGACGCAGCUAACGCAUUAAGCACUCCGCCUGGGGAGUACGGUCGCAAGAUUAAAACUCAAAGGAAUUGACGG